CCGUGCUAGAUGGGGUGUUAGCGGUACCUUGUAGCCUGCAAUCCGCUAUAGCAGGGUUGAAUCCCUUUAUGAGGAAUAACUCCGGUCGGGCCUGCCCUGAGCAAGUGAUGUUGAGAAUUUGGUCCUGCGCAAUGAAAAGCUGUGAACUCCGUCAGGUCUGGAAGGAAGCAGCGGUAAACGGAUUUUUUCAUGUGCCGCAGACAAUCCGGGUUUGAGUCAACUACUUGGGUUACGCCGGUUAGAGUAUUUCGAAUUCAGGUGCACGG
rnacentral:SRP_RNA from 1 species